GGUAGGCCCUUGAAAUCCGGUGGCGCGAGGAUUCAGUGCGGCGCCGUACACGUCUUGCGGGAAGACCGAGCAGGGCUUCCCGGGACAGGGGCCGACUCUCGUCUGAAAGACGCUGCAGCCGGUUCGGCAGUGCAAACGUGACGGCCUAAAGUUCGGGAGCCGGCAGGUGGCUCUCCUCGGGCGUGCCGUCGGUUGUUAGCAAUCCCGUCGGUGGCUCGUCGCCGGAUCGAGGUGUCACGAGUCCCCUCGUGGGACUUCUCGUGUACACCACGUGGUCGCGGGACAGCCUGCGGUCAGCGUCUUCCGUCGACCCGUUGCACUCUCGUGAGUGAGCGGACAGGCAUCGGAAUCCGCUGACAGAUAGGAGGCUGGCAGCGAGUAGGUCGGUCGCUCACCCAACCCGUCUUGAAGCACGGACCAAAGAGUCUAACAUGUGCGCGAGUCAGUGUGUGCGAUGAAAGCGAAGGUCGUCCGAGCGGCGACCAAGUCUGUAUCCUCCUCUCUCGAAGGGCGAAUCGCACAGACGACACGUCCCAUCAGGAUUGACGGAGUUGAGCGUACA
rnacentral:rRNA from 1 species